rnacentral:rRNA from 1 species
UGGAGGCAACUCUGAUCCAGCAAUGCCGCGUGUGUGAUGAAGGCCCUAGGGUUGUAAAGCACUUUCAUUGGUGAAGAUGAUGACGGUAACCAAAGAAGAAGCCCCGGCUAACUUCGUGCCAGCAGCCGCGGUAAUACGAAGGGGGCGAGCGUUGUUCGGAAUUACUGGGCGUAAAGGGAGCGCAGGCGGUUCAAUUAGUUAGGCGUGAAAGCCCCGGGCUCAACCUGGGAACUGCGCUUAAUACUGUUGAGCUAGAAUACAGAAGAGGAUAGUGGAAUUCCCAGUGUAGAGGUGAAAUUCGUAGAUAUUGGGAAGAACACCGGUGGCGAAAGCGGCUAUCUGGUCUGUUAUUGACGCUGAGGCUCGAAAGCGUGGGGAGCAAACAGGAUUAGAUACCCUGGUAGUCCACGCCGUAAACGAUGAUAACUAGAUGUCGGGGGGUCGCCUCUCGGUGUCGCAGCUAACGCAUUAAGUUAUCCGCCUGGGAAGUACGGUCGCAAGAUUAAAACUCAAAGGAAUUGACGGGGA